rnacentral:rRNA from 1 species
AUGCGUCCGUCUCAGGACCGCCGCCCCUUCCGCCCGCCGGACCGGGUCUCGCCGCCUCCCCACCUCCACCGCCAGCAGCGCCUCCGCCAGCCGCCCCCGCACGCGCGGCAGUUCGCGGUGAUCCUCCUCCUCGCGGGCCCCACUUUCUCCUCCCCGCCGGCCACGGAGGUCGACGCCCUCGUCGCGGGCCUCCAGUCGCCGCCUCCCGACGGCCUCUCCGUCUGCUCCUCCGGCCGCCACGCCGCCCGACUCCUCUUCCGCUCCCUCCCCGCCGCCGCGGCCGCCGCGCGCGAGCUCUGGUCGCUCCGCCUCGACGGCCUCCACCUCCUCACCCCGCACCUCCCCGACGCCGCCCUCGCCUCCCACGCCUUCCCUCUCGUCGCCUCCCUCUUCGCCUCCCACGCGUCCCGCCUCCUCGACUCCGGCCUCAUCUCCCGUUCCGCCGCCCGCUCCGCUGAGCUCGCAGUCUCCAUCCAGUCUGUGAAACGCCGCCUGCGCGGUCACAAUAACUUCCGCGACUUCGAUCAGUUCAAUCUCCAGAAGAAAACGCUGGAGGCUGAGAAGGAAUUGGUAGAUGCCCGAAUUGCCGAGUACAAAGCAGCGAUGAGUUUGAUAACGCGCGCCAUGUUACGUGGGACGGAUGACGGGGAGGAGGUGGAGGAAGAAGGUGUGGAUGUGUUUGGGAUUGGGGAAGGAGAGGAUGUGGACUUUGUGAGGUUGCACAUGAUGAUGCUGCGCGAGUGCAGGACGCUCAACGAGGGGCUACCAAUCUACGCAUACCGCAGAAAGAUUCUCAAUCACAUUUUCAAUAACCAGGUUAUGAUCUUAAUUGGGGAAACUGGUUCUGGGAAAAGCACACAACUAGUUCAGUUUCUUGCUGACUCAGGUCUUUCUGGUAACGAUUCAAUUGUCUGCACACAACCUCGGAAAAUUGCUGCUUUAUCAUUGGCACAUAGAGUAGAUGAAGAAAGCAAGGGCUGCUAUGCGGACAAUUUUAUGUCGUCAUAUUCAAGCUUUUUGAAUGGUCAAAACUUCAGUUCGAAGAUUAUAUUUUGCACAGAUAGUUGUCUUUUACAUCACUGUAUGAACGAUGCGGACCUGAAUGGCAUUUCCUAUAUCAUUGUUGAUGAAGCUCAUGAAAGAAGCUUGAACACCGAUCUUCUCUUAGCUUUGAUCAAGAAGAAGCUGCUUGAUAGGUUGGAUUUGCGACUCAUUAUAAUGUCUGCCACUGCUGAUGCUAAUAGACUUGCUGAAUACUUUUAUGGCUGCCAAACAUUCCAUGUGAAAGGGAGAAAUUUUCCUGUUGAAAUUAAAUAUGUACCUGAUGUAUCAGUUGAUGCUUCUUUCAAUAUUGUGGCAAGCUCUUUGCGUGGUCCUUGUGCUGCUGCUUCUUAUGUCAAUGAUGUUAUAAGACAGGUAAGCAUCAUCCACAAGAACGAAGAAGAGGGUGCCAUCCUUGCUUUCUUGACAUCCCAGCUAGAAGUUGAAUGGGCUUGUGAAAAUUUCACCGAUGCAAGUGCGGUGGUACUUCCUAUUUAUGGAAAGCUUUCCCCUGUGGAACAGAGUCGUGUUUUCAAAAGUUAUUCUGGAAUGAGAAAAAUUAUCUUCUGCACUAAUAUAGCUGAAACAUCACUUACUAUAAAAGAAGUGAAGUAUGUUGUUGAUUCUGGACUGGUCAAGGACAGCAGAUUUGUGCCUAGCAGUGGUCUUAAUGUUCUGAAAGUCAAUUGGAUUUCCCAAAGUUCAGCUAAUCAACGCGCUGGCCGGGCAGGUCGAACAGGAGUGGGGAAGUGUUAUAGGCUUUACUCCGAAGCCGACUUCAGUAUGAUGGAACUGCAUCAAGAACCUGAAAUCCAAAAAGUUCAUCUUGGCACUGCUGUUCUAAGAAUACUUGCUUUGGGUGUUAAAGAUGCACAGAAUUUUGAGUUUGUUGAUGCCCCAAAUCCAGAAGCAAUCAAUAUGGCUGUGAAGAACCUUGAACAGUUGGGUGCUGUCAAUUGUAAUUGUAAUUGCUAUGAGCUGACUGAUACCGGACGCCACUUGGUCAAAUUGGGAAUUGAGCCAAGGCUUGGAAAAAUUAUGCUUGAUUGCUUUGGUUUUGGUUUGAGGAAGGAAGGUGUAGUUUUAGCUGCAGUUAUGGCAAAUUCUAGCAGCAUCUUUUGUAGAGUGGGCACUGAUGAGGAGAAACACAAAGCUGACCUUCAGAAAGUCCGUUUGUGUCACCAAGAUGGAGAUCUGUUCACUCUACUCGCUGUUUAUAAGAAAUGGGAGGACGGGCAUGAAAACAGGAACAUGUGGUGUUGGCAGAACAGCAUCAACGCCAAAACCAUGAGGAGGUGCCAGGAAACUAUAUCAGAACUUGAAAAUUGUCUAAAGCAUGAAUUGAAAAUUAUAAUCCCAAGUUAUUGGUGUUGGAAUCCUGAGGCUCCCAGUGAGCAUGAUAAGUUGCUAAAAAGAAUUAUCCUGUCAUCUCUUGCAGGUAAUCUUGCUAUGUUUUUAGGACAUGAAAGGUUUGGUUACCAGGUGAUUUCAACAGAUCAGAUUGUGAACCUUCAUCCCUCAUGCUCAUUGCUUAAUUAUUGUACCAAGCCAGAUUGGGUGGUGUUUUCAGAAAUCUUAUCCGUCCCAAAUCAAUAUCUGGUAUGCGUAACUGCUGUUGAUCAUGAUGCUUUGUAUGCAAUUCACCCAAUGUCUUCCAUUCAGCAACUGGAGAUACAUAAAUUGCAGAUAAAGGUGAUUAGUGGGCUUGGUAAUAACUUGCUGGGAAAAUUUGUUGGCAAAUCUGGCCAAAAUCAGCAGAAGAUCAUCUCACGUCUCAAGGAAGAUUGCAAGGAUGACCGAUUAACUGUUGAAGUUAACUUUAACAAUAACGAAGUUGUGUUAUUUGCUACCGCACAGCACAUGGAGAAGGUCUUUUGCAUUGUUAACAAUGCUUUGGAAUGUGAAGGUAAGUUGAUGAGGAACGAGUGCCUUGAGAGAAGUUUAUUUCCCGAGAGGUCAGGCAGUUCUCCUAUUGCACUAUUUGGCUCAGGUGCUGAAGUCAAACAUUUAGAACUUGGGAAGAGAUAUCUGACAGUAGAGGUUCUACAUCAAAAUGCAAGUGACAUCAAUGACAAGGAGCUUAUUAGCUUGGUGGAUAGUCUUGUCUCCGGUAUUGCUAAUUUUCAUAAAUCCAGUGGAAAUUUCCGGCUAGGCUCAGAUGAAACUAAAUGGGGGAAGAUUACAUUCCUCAAACCUGAAAAUGCUGAAGAUGCUGUCUCAAAAUUGAACGGGGUAGAAUUUCAUGGUUCCUCUCUAAGAAUAGUUCCUGUAUGUUCUCCUGAUAAUCAAGGUUUACGAUUUCCUUCAGUAAGAGCUAAAUUAUGUUGGCCACGUAAGGAAAGCAGGGGCCUUGCACUUGUAACAUGUGCCAGUGGGGAAGCUCAAUCUGUUGUAGAUGACUGCUUUGCCUUAGGAAUCGAUGGAAGGUAUAUCAGUUGUAGGGUUAGUACGAAGGAGGAGAACUGUGUAUUUGUCGAAAGAAUUCCAUUGCAUGUCUCGGAGCGGGAACUAUAUGAUGCUUUUCGCAGCACAACAACAAGGAGAAUCCUUAAUAUCCGCCUGCUCAGGGUCAAGGAAGCCACUAUAGCUAGCCCCUCUGUUUCUGUAUGCGAAGAAGUGCUGAUUAGAGAAAUUUCUCCAUUCAUGCCAAACAAGAGUUUUCCUGGAAAAAGUUUCCGUGUUGAAGUGUUCCCUCCCGAGGAAAAUGACUCGAUGAUGAGAGCAACUUUAACUUUUGAUGGAAAUCUUCAUCGAGAAGCUGCAAGAGCACUGGACCAUCUUGAAGGAAGUAUUCUUCCUUGUUGUCAACCUUGGCAGAUAAUACAGUGCAAGCAUGUAUUUCAUAGCACUAUGUCCUGUUCAGUGCGUGUUUACAAUGUUAUCAGCCAGGAAGUGACCUCUCUGCUUGAGAGCUUCCGAAGCCAAAAAGGUGUGUCUUACAAUUAUGAGAAGACCGAGAAUGGUAUUUUCUGA